rnacentral:rRNA from 1 species
UAGGGAAUCUUCCACAAUGGACGCAAGUCUGAUGGAGCAACGCCGCGUGAGUGAAGAAGGGUUUCGGCUCGUAAAGCUCUGUUGUUAAAGAAGAACGUGGGUAAGAGUAACUGUUUACCCAGUGACGGUAUUUAACCAGAAAGCCACGGCUAACUACUUGCCAG